rnacentral:lncRNA from 1 species
GACUUAUAUAAAGGUACAUCUUUUAACUUCUUUGAAGUUAUAUAUUUGCGACUUUUAUCUAAUUACUAACUUCAUCCCGUAACUGAAUGGUGCUUUUCCACAGGGAAAAAAGAGGGAAGGGAGUAAACAAACAGUCACUCCGUGAUCUGCAACGAGAUUUUUAAUUGCACGAGUCCACUAACAGAUGUCGACCAGGAGGGAACACGCUAUUUGUACCAGUUCCAGAAAACUUUGCAGUACAUGAAUAAGCUUUUCAGAAGAAUAACACACACAGUUGCUCAGACUCUUCUGAGUUUUCUCCAAUGAGUCUACAGGAUCUAUGUCUGAGCCCCUGUGGAAGGCUGGGGCUGCGACUGUCCCUCCACCCCCUCCCGAGCCUGCCUCUCCCUCCAGGAAGCCCUGAACUCACGCCACCUCCCUGGAGAACCGUGCACACGGGAACCAGGAGAAACAGGUGAUGGCGAAAUAAAAACAAGAGCUGAGCUCCCUCUUACAGGAUCCAACGCCAGGAGCAGCCGCUAAGGCUCUCACUGGGCCCGCAUCCCUAGACACACCUGCAUGAACGGGUCGACACUCAGGGGUGGGGGAUCCUUCACAGAAGCCCCUCCCCCCUCAGGGCUUGAACUUUCAGGAACCUGCAAUGACCCCCAGAGGCUGAAAGACACCUGCACCUACCACCCCACUGCUGCUGGGCACCCUGACUCCAGGUGAGGUGGAGGGGCCAGCCCAGCCCUUAGCGUCCUGCCCUCGGCCUUAACUGAGGGGUAACUGACACUUGAUAAAAAAGUUCACGCGAUUCCGAUCUCAGUUCUCCUCACACCUGCCAACCAUGAACACGUGUUCCUUUCGUUCCUCCUGGGAACAUGGAAAACAGAGCCAACAACUUCUCUCCUUCCACUCAGACACCCUGGUACCAAGAGAUACAUACUUAACUCCCAGUGGGCAGGAAGGGCCCAGGCGCCCACUGGCCAGCGGCACCCAUAAACCCUGCCCUACUGAGACGGUCGGUCUGAAGGUGGGAGCUGGGGCAGACAGUCAGCUUCCCAGGUGACUCCAACAAACAGCUGGCUUCCUGCAGGAAGGAACGAACAGGUGGUAAAACAGAGCCUGGCUGUCAGGGUGCAGGCUGAGUGCUCGCCACACCUGUGCAAGUUUCAAGGGCAGUGACAGGCACAAGCUGAACCGGCUUCCUGCAGGGACGUGCAAGGGCGACUGGCCCGGGCCCCCAGACGCCAAGUGGCUGGGACCCGGGGGGGAGGGGGGCGCUGGUGAGGGUGCCUGGGCUGAGGCACGGGGUCAGUGCCAUCGUGCUCCCCCGGACCACCCUGACAGGCAUCUCCCCCUGAGAAGCACUGCACGCCCUACAAUGGAAGCAGCCGGGGGCUCCCCUACCAGCCUUGCAGGCAAGGGUCCCAAAGGAAAAACAGGUGGGCGGGGGCCCAGGCUGCCUCGGUCGCCGUCUUUGUGGGAAGAUUGAAGGAAGUCGCGUGUUUGAAUAAAAACUAAUUUGUUUGUAAUGACCAUCUACUAUUUGGGUUUAUGGUGCCAACAAUUUCAUUAUGAUUUUAGAAGACGUUAUACCAUAAAACAUAAUUUUCAUUCUACUGAAAUACAUAAAUUCUUUGUUUAAAAUACAUCUGGACAUGUGUAAAGGGGGGAAAUGCCCCCCACCAAGACCCUCCCCAAAGGCCCCCAGGAACCACCUGCGGCCCCCUUCUACACACACUGGGACCCUCUGUUCACACGAGUGGAGUUAGAAUCUGCGAAGAGGGGAGUUCCUAUCAUGGCUCAGUGGUUAACGAAUCCGACUAGGAUCCGUGAGGAUGCAGGUUCGAUCCCUGGCCUUGCUCAGUGGGUUAAGGAUCCUGCAUUGCCGUGAGCUGUGGUGUAGGUCGCAGACACGGCUCGGAUCCCGCAUUGCUGUGGCUCCGGCGUAGGCCAGUGGCUACAGCUCCAAUUAGACUCCUAGCCUAGGAACCUCCAUGUGCCGCCGGUAGGGCCCUAGAAAAGGCAAAAAGACAAAAAGACAAAAAAAAAGANCCCCAGACGCCAAGUAACUGACACCUGCACUGGGACCCAGUCUUACUCAUUUACUCCAUUUUUACUGCGCAUCGAGCUCACCGCAUUUAGAAAGAAAUUAGGCUCUGGCCAGGUGUCCUCACAAAGGUGUGGCCGCCAGACCGUGACAGGGGCAGGGCUGCAGGGGAGACCCCAGGAAGGGCUGGGGGGGGCGGGAGGCAGAGCCCGUGCCCAGGGGAGGCCACAGCCCUUCCCUCCACACACCGCUGCCCAGAGCUAAGCCUAACUCCCCAGCCCUGAACCGCAGGCCCGCGAGGCGCCACAGACCCCCUGCCCGAUGACACAGAAUCAACCACGAAGAAGCAAAAAGACACUCUCGUUCUGACCCAGAAAGAGUGAAACGUAAUACGUAAAUCAUGGCCAUUCCACUAAAAGACAGACAAACAAGAGAUUUUCUCUGAUCUUGGAAAACUGCAAGUCUGUCUUUCCAGCCCCAAGAGUGGAAGGUUCAGGACUUCUGCACAGAAACAGGUCACCUGCCACCGGUGCCUCCUCCACCAAGCCCCUUCCGGCCGCUCCCACCGCAGAGGGACCCCAGUCACCACUCAGGGAGAACACAGAAACUGCCCUGGAAGCCCAACGCGGCCCGGCGCCAGGGCAGGGCGGGGGGUCCUUAGAAAAGGAAAGGGAGCCGGAGCCGGAGGCGAGAGCAGGUGCCACAAGGUGCUGGGCAGGGCCUGUCAGCGCUCAGGGCAGGGGCCCUGCACGUCCACUCGCUCCAGCCCCGUGCAGCCGGAGGCAAGUCCACUGGCACCUGGUUCUGCCACCUUCCAAGUCCCCACCCACUUCCGCAGAUCUGCUUCGAGCAGGAAGGUCCAAGGAUACGUCAAAUUCAGAGGCCAACUUUCUAGUCUAAAUCAGUGCCACCCACUGGACAGGAUGCUCUCAGAGACAACAGUCACUCACACGGGCCUCUGGACACCAAGUCCGAGUCCCAGCCCCUCUGCCACAGCCAGAGCCAGCCGGGCUAGGAGCGGGAGGAAGACGCCCUCCCCGGACACGGGAGCCCCGGACACAGUGAGGGAGGUGCUGCCCCCCAGCCGCCCGGCCCCCGGCUGCUCCUCCCUCCGCACUCACAGCCCCCGCGGAGGCAGGUCCUCCUGACACUAAUCUGUUGGUACCAACACCCCCCGCCGCCGGGCUUGCAGCCUAUGCGCUCUGGACGAUGUAAAUGUUGUCAUCACCCCGGGUGUCUAACGAAGACCCUGACUCAAUAAGCUGCAAAUGAAGCAAACGCUUGAGGAAGCACACAAUUCAAAAGCUCUCACACAGCAAAAAACAAUCUCUACCUCGCUUUGGAAUCAGAUGUGUUUUCACCAGUCAGAUGCACACACGUGUUUGCACAUAUACACACACUCUUCCACCUAAGUACACACCAGCAAGCCAGCAACGGCGGUGGGGGGGAAGGGGGGCGCGGCACGUUCGGCCUCUCAAAUUCCACUCUAUGUGCUGUUAAAUAGUAAACAAGCAAGUACUACAGCAAACCUCGUCCAUCUAAAUCCACAGAGAGCUUUUUAUGGUAAAGUAAUUUAUCUCCUUAAAAUAAGCCAAUAUCUCCUUUAGGAACUGUGGAAAUUCUAAUUACAACACAGAAAACAACGUAAGCACAGCUUCCAAGGUGUGACAACAGCCAGAUGCUUUUCUCAAAAAGGUCACCCAACAGCCAAGCCGAACACACGCUGCUUUUCAGCUGCUGUUCAGACGAAAGUGUCUUCACUGCCCACUUGUAAGUGGCGACAACGCUGUGACCACCUUCGCGUCUCAGGCCCACUUCACCAGGAGCUGCUUCCAAACAAAGGCCGGACCCUCAGGGUCAGCACGAGAGCAAGGACACCCCACGCUCAAGCGACAGGGAACGUGGUUAUGUGGCGACAUGUGCUCUCUUAUUUAUAGAGCCCUUUUAAUCACUUUACAUGUAACCAGUGCUGAAACAGGCUUGCAGAGUCUGAGGACACAUGGCUGGGUGGAGUAGGCGGUAGGGCAGAGAAAGGUCAGCCAAACCCCACAAAAAACAAUUAAGACUUUCCACAGUCCACAAAACAGGUGAUGUUGAGGCAAUGGAAAGGUCGCUUGGAGGGGUAGAGGCAUCUUAUUAAAAAGUCCUUUCGACAGGUCAUCAAAGAUGCACAGCAGUCAGGACCCCUACGCACACACCACGUUUCGAGGGCCCAUGGGUCAGAGAGACAACACAACAGAGGAAAGGGCGGAGGGAGAGGCAGGACAGAGCACGGCCGAGAGGCCGACGAGGAGGGAGGGACUCGGAACUGAGAGCAGGGGAAAGACAGGAAUUCAAUACGGAGCACACGGCUGGCAUCACGGAGAAAGCGGGGGGCAGUCGAAGGUCCAGAUGACAACGAUGACAAGGCGAACACUUCAGCUGAGCCUACAGCCGAGCCUCUGGCUGGCUCCAUAGGAUGAAGACAUCAAAAAAUAGUUAAUUCACAAAGCAGUGAAGUGAUUCAGCCACAGGUAACCAAAUUAAAAUAAUCCACUAAAAGUCAAAUUGUAUCAUUCUUUAAGAUUAUCAUGCAGAUAAGACAGCUUUAGAUUUAAAAUAAACUGGAAAGGACCUUGUUUCCCUUAAUUCUACAGGUGUGGCCAAGGCCGAGUGGCUGUGGCAGCUAACAGAACAGGUGCAAUAGUAAAUGCACAAAAAUACCUGGAGACAGAUAAUCCAUGUUCUCUGAUUAAGCGAGUCAUGCGGUUUCCAGUAAGUGGGUGAAGCAGCCAUACUUCUAACGAGCAACUGUGGUAAACACCCAGAACACAAAACCAUCGUUGUUCUGGGAUUUGCUUAUUUAAGACGAGAUACUGGAAUAUCUACCUUAGUAAGAAGGAGCUACAUGGUUUCUGACCAAGAAUAGGAGGUUUUCUCUGUCCAGAAGCACUGUUCAAAUGGCCCAUCCUACAGCAAAGGCAGUGAUACAUCCACACACGUAUAGACACCAUCUUGGACCCAUGAAUUCAAAAUUCUGGGGCAAAUGGGAGUAGUCAGGGAAUCGGGAGGGUGUAAAUAGCGGGACUAGGACAGAUGUUCUAGAAUAUUCCGGAGACCAUGUCCCAGGAUGGCCAGGCACACACCGAUCUUAUCCACCUUAAACAUGGUCAUUCCUGCCAACAUUUAUCUGGAUUACGAUUUUGUUUUAUUUACAUAAAAGAAAGGAAGACAGAUUUGUCCUAAAGGAUUAUCUAAUCACUGGAUUAUUUUCACUUGAUUAUGAGUAAUCUCUAAAUAGCUUCCCUCAAGGAUCUAAAAAUAAGAUAACAAAAGAAAGCCACAACCCCAGCAACUUUAUUAAGCAUAUUAUCAUCAGGAAAAUAAGGGAUCUUUUUUGAGACAACAGGUUCCUAAAAUACCCUUCAU